rnacentral:rRNA from 1 species
UUAGCAUAUCAAUAAGCGGAGGAAAAGAAACCAACAGGGAUUACCUCAGUAACGGCGAGUGAAGCGGUAACAGCUCAAAUUUGAAAUCUGGCUCUUUCAGGGUCCGAGUUGUAAUUUGUAGAAGAUGCUUCGGGUGUGGCUCCGGUCUAAGUUCCUUGGAACAGGACGUCAUAGAGGGUGAGAAUCCCGUAUGUGACUGGCUGCCUCCGCCCAUGUGAAGCUCUUUCGACGAGUCGAGUUGUUUGGGAAUGCAGCUCUAAAUGGGUGGUAAAUUUCAUCUAAAGCUAAAUAUUGGCCAGAGACCGAUAGCGCACAAGUAGAGUGAUCGAAAGAUGAAAAGCACUUUGGAAAGAGAGUUAAACAGUACGUGAAAUUGUUGAAAGGGAAGCGCUUGCAAUCAGACUUGCACGCUGCCGAUCAUCCGGGGUUCUCUCCGGUGCACUCGGUUGCGUUCAGGCCAGCAUCGGUUUGGGUGGUUGGAUAAAGGCCUUGGGAAUGUAGCUUCUUUCGGGGAGUGUUAUAGCCCUCGGUGCAAUGCAGCCUACCCGGACCGAGGACCGCGCUUCGGCUAGGAUGCUGGCGUAAUGGUUGUAAGCGACCCGUCUUGAAACACGGACCAAGGAGUCUAACAUCUAUGCGAGUAUUUGGGUGUCAAACCCAUAUGCGUAAUGAAAGUGAACGGAGGUGAGAACCCUUAAGGGUGCAUCAUCGACCGGUCCUGAUGUCUUCGGAUGGAUCUGAGUAAGAGCAUAGCUGUUGGGACCCGAAAGAUGGUGAACUAUGCCUGAAUAGGGUGAAGCCAGAGGAAACUCUGGUGGAGGCUCGCAGCGGUUCUGACGUGCAAAUCGAUCGUCAAAUUUGGGUAUAGGGGCGAAAGACUAAUCGAACCAUCUAGUAGCUGGUUCCUGCCGAAGUUCCCCCC